ACGAACGCUGGCGGCGUGCUUAACACAUGCAAGUCGAACGGAAAGGCCCUGCUUUUGUGGGGUUCUCGAGUGGCGAACGGGUGAGUAACACGUGAGUAACCUGCCCUUGACUUUGGGAUAACUUCAGGAAACUGGGGCUAAUACCGGAUAGGAGCUCCUGCUGCAUGGUGGGGGUUGGAAAGUUUCGGCGGUUGGGGAUGGACUCGCGGCUUAUCAGCUUGUUGGUGGGGUAGUGGCUUACCAAGGCUUUGACGGGUAGCCGGCCUGAGAGGGUGACCGGCAACAUUGGGACUGAGAUACGGCCCAGACUCCUACGGGAGGCAGCAGUGGGGAAUAUUGCACAAUGGGCGGAAGCCUGAUGCAGCAACGCCGCGUGCGGGAUGACGGCCUUCGGGUUGUAAACCGCUUUCGCCUGUGACGAAGCGUGAGUGACGGUAAUGGGUAAAGAAGCACCGGCUAACUACGUG
rnacentral:rRNA from 1 species